CCCAUUACUUGUUGUUUCGGGUUACGGGUUGGCUUACCUGCUGGUGGGUUAUAGUAGGUGUCAUCAUGACUUGAUAAAUCGGAUCGUGACAAUAUGCUUAGUGAGCAAACUUAUUAUGUCAGUAGUUCAACAUUUUCGAGCGUACAUAAGGCAUCCUUAAAUUUGGUGUUUGCUUGAUAAGUAGCUCUUCUUUUAAAUCUGGUGUCAUUAGUUAAUACUUAAUCAAUAGACUCAAGAUAAACUAUAUAUAUAAAUGGUUGGUGUGAGAUGUGUCCAAACUUGUCUAACAACUUGUGUAACUGCCUCCUACUAAUGUUUCAUAAAUUACUGUAAGUUAAUUUAUUUAUGAUUUAAUUGCUAACUGCUACUACAUAUAUGGUGUAUGACAUAAGUUUCCUGGCAUGUAAUAACUUUCUGUUUCUACCCCAAAUUAAGAUAUUUUGUGGGUUGCAGCAAAUUAUGAAGAAUAUUACUAUUUCCCAUUUCAAAUUUUGGUGCCCUUUUUAAAUGUGAUCAGAUUAUAUGCUAUGUAUCAUUUCUGAGAAGAUAUUUAUUGUGCUGAUAAAUUACAGUUUGAAGCUGAAGCAUGAACAAUUGGAUUAAAUACAUAUUCUGUCGAUUGUUGGGCAUGAAGACUGUUAAAGACAAAGCAGAUGGAGUAGAAAUAUCCACUCUUCAGUCCAAUGGAAAGUUCUGUUCACAUCAACAUUAUUUUUUAAUGAUGUAUUAUUUAAUUUAUACUGCAAAAUUAUAUCUGUAAAUAUUUUAAGUUAUGUUAUUAUCAAUCGAUUAUGCUGUACUCUCCUUGAUUGAGGGUUGAUAACAAUACAUGGUUGAUAUUUGGUAUUGACAA